AGCUCCAGUAGCGUAUAUUAAAGCUGUUGCGGUUAAAAAGCUCGUAGUUGGAUAUCAGUGCGUGUCCGGUCCGGUAUGCCAGGCGCUGUCGCUCGCGCGGCAAUGCUUGGCUCCCAAAUAUCGGCUGGCCGCAUUCAAUCGUGCCGGAUCCGUCGGCGGGCCGUUCUUCGGAGGGGCCUGUUGGCGGCCGGCGACGUUACCUUGAACAAAUUAGAGUGCUCAAAGCAGGCUCUGUAUGCCUGUAUACAUAUUCAUGGAAUUGGAGAAUACGUCCCUGGCUCGAUUUGGUUGGUUUUAAGAGUCGAAGGGAAAUGAUUAAUAGGGACUGACGGAGGCAUUCGUAUUGCGACGCGAGGGGUGAAAUCCUGUGACCGUCGCACGACGAACUACUGCGAAAGCAUUUGCCGAGAAUGUUUUCA
rnacentral:rRNA from 1 species